ACGCUCGACACCUACGGGAGGCAGCAGUGGGGAAUAUUGGGCAAUGGGCGCAAGCCUGACCCAGCAACGCCGCGUGAAGGAAGAAGGCCCUCGGGUUGUAAACUUUCUUUUGACAGGGACGAAACAAAUGACGGUACCUGUCGAAUAAGCCACGGCUAACUACGUGCCAGCAGCCACGGUAAUCUGAGCGGGCUGGCAAGGC
rnacentral:rRNA from 1 species